UCUGUUUGAUCCUGGCGGAGGCCACUGCUAUCGGAGUUCGAUUAAGCCAUGCGAGUCGAGAGGUGUAAGACCUCGGCAUACUGCUCAGUAACACGUGGACAACCUACCCUGAAGAGGGGGAUAACCCCGGGAAACUGGGGAUAAUACCCCAUAGACUAUGGAUGCUGGAAUGCUUUGUAGUUGAAAGGUCCGCCGCUUCAGGAUGGGUCUGCGGCCGAUUAGGUUGUUGUUGGGGUAACGGCCCAACAAGCCUGUAAUCGGUACGGGUUGUGGGAGCAAGAGCCCGGAGAUGGAUUCUGAGACGCGAAUCCAGGCCCUACGGGGCGCAGCAGGCGCGAAAACUUUACAAUGCGAGAAAUCGUGAUAAGGGAACUCCGAGUGCCCGUAAAAUCGGGCUGUCCGCCAGUGUAAAUAACUGGUGAAGAAAGGGCCGGGCAAGACCGGUGCCAGCCGCCGCGGUAAUACCGGCGGCUCGAGUGGUGGCCACUAUUACUGGGCUUAAAGCGUUCGUAGCUGGUCUGUUAAGUCUCUGGGGAAAUCUUCCGGCUUAACCGGAAGGCGUCUCAGGGAUACUGGCAGACUAGGGACCGGAAGAGGUGAGAGGUACUCCAGGGGUAGGAGUGAAAUCCUGUAAUCCUUGGGGGAUCACCUGUGGCGAAGGCGUCUCACCAGGACGGCUCCGACAGUGAGGAACGAAAGCUGGGGAGCAAACCGGAUUAGAUACCCGGGUAGUCCCAGCUGUAAACGAUGCGCGUUAGGUGUAUCGGUGACCACGAGUCACCGAGGUGCCGAAGAGAAAUCGUGAAACGCGCCGCCUGGGAAGUACGGUCGCAAGGCUGAAACUUAAAGGAAUUGGCGGGGGAGCACCACAACGGGCGGAGCCUGCGGUUUAAUCGGACUCAACGCCGGGAAACUCACCGGACAAGACAGCUGAAUGAUAGUCGGGCUGAGGACUCUACUUGACUAGCUGAGAGGAGGUGCAUGGCCGUCGUCAGUUCGUACUGUGAAGCAUCCUGUUAAGUCAGGCAACGAGCGAGACCCA
rnacentral:rRNA from 1 species